rnacentral:rRNA from 1 species
CCUACGGGAGGCUGCAGUGGGGAAUAUUGGACAAUGGGGGGAACCCUGAUCCAGCCAUGCCGCGUGUGUGAAGAAGGCCCUCGGGUUGUAAAGCACUUUCAGUGAGGAAGAACGCCUGGUGGUUAAUACCCAUCAGGAAAGACAUCACUCACAGAAGAAGCACCGGCUAACUCCGUGCCAGCAGCCGCGGUAAUACGGAGGGUGCGAGCGUUAAUCGGAAUUACUGGGCGUAAAGCGCGCGUAGGUGGCUUGAUAAGCCGGUUGUGAAAGCCCCGGGCUCAACCUGGGAACGACAUCCGGAACUGUCAAGCUAGAGUGCAGGAGAGGAAGGUAGAAUUCCCGGUGUAGCGGUGAAAUGCGUAGAGAUCGGGAGGAAUACCAGUGGCGAAGGCGGCCUUCUGGACUGACACUGACACUGAGGUGCGAAAGCGUGGGUAGCAAACAGGAUUAGAUACCCUAGUAGUC